UAUAAGUUUACAGAUCACAAGGUCACUGAAAUAAAUCACUAUGUGAAAAAAAAACAGCUAAGAAAUAGUUGAAGAAUUUUCCUUCUAGUUUAAAGGAAAACCUGGAAAAUAUUUUCAUCUAUAUGUCUAGCAAUCUCCUUAUUCAACCACAUUUCACAACAGGGAGCUGUAUCAUUCAUUUUGGAAAAAAGCAUAAGGAGUACUAGAUAACAAAGGGCCAAAUAAAACAACAGUUUAUGGGAAAUGUGCUACCAACUGACAAGAGGAGACGAAGAGUUUCUAUACAUCAAUAACCAGUUCUCUUCAUUCACUUACCCAUUUAUUUAUUCAACAACUUAUUGAGC
rnacentral:antisense_RNA from 1 species